rnacentral:tRNA from 1 species
GGGAAUUUAAGAUAAUGUUAGUCUAAAGAGCCUUCAAAGCUUUAAGCAGAAGUUAAAAACUUCUAAUUCCCG